rnacentral:rRNA from 1 species
ACGUAGGGGGCAAGCGUUGUCCGGAAUGACUGGGCGUAAAGGGCGCGUAGGCGGCCUGGCAAGUCUGGAGUGAAAGCUCUGCUUUUAAGGUGGGGAUUGCUUUGGAUACUGUCGGGCUUGAGUGCAGGAGAGGUAAGUGGAAUUCCCGGUGUAGCGGUGAAAUGCGUAGAGAUUGGGAGGAACACCAGUGGCGAAGGCGACUUACUGGACUGUACCUGACGCUGAGGCGCGAAAGUGUGGGGAGCAAACGG